UUACUAAUAUGCCCUUCAUUUUAUUUUUCUAUUCUGUUUUGCUGAGCUGUCAGCUUUGUUAGUGGUGUGCUGUUAGCUUGUUAUGCGCCUCACACCUUUUCUGUUUUGGAUUCAUGCUAUAUAUAGUAGCUCUUGUAUUACUGUUCAUCAUAUAAUACAAUGAGAGUUUCUUUUCAUUCUCUCUCUUUACCUAUUUCUAUCAUGUUAUACAGAGCUUAAAUUUUUUCCGAUCCAUGGAUCUUUAUUCCCUUCCUCUCAGGUGAACUUUCUCACCUAAUUUCUGUUAACUUGACGACAAGAACUUCAAACAGUGGAAGCAGCAGAUUGAUGGCGUCGUCCGUGGUCAUCGUCUUCAACGCUUUGUCACUGUUCCGGUGAUCCCGUCACCGUCUCCCUCAGAUCCUGCAUCUCACAGUGCGUUUCUUGAGUGGGACAGCAGGAUGCUCUCAUCUGCACCUGGCUUCUCUCUACUAUCUCCGAUGCUCUCCUUCCUAAGCUCGUUGACUGCAAGCAUGCGUGGCAGUGUGUGGACAGAAGUUCAUCGCUACUUUGAUGUUCUUCUCUCCACCAAGGUCGUCAACUUCGUUCAGAAUCCGGCGUCUUACGAAGGGUUCACUAACUUACUGAGCUUAUGACGCGUUCUCGUGACAUCAGUGAGUCGCUAACCUCCAUCGGUGAUCCCGUUCCUCUUCGUAACCUAAUUGAGAUUGUUCCGAUUCGUUACCUGAGGAUUAUGAUUCUAUUGUCGCCGCGUUAACAGCAAAGAUGACGUUAGCUCCUUGGAAGAGUGGAGUCUUCCUUGCUUGCUCAUGAGUGCGAUUGGAGAAGCAUCGCAAAGCUGCGAUUACAGAACCUGCGACGGCGACGGUCAAUCUCACUCAAGCAACACCUUCUCCUACUCCAGGCGCUUCUGAUCAAGUCGUCUCCGAGGCGUUUCCUCAAGAACGAGUCACGUCACCGCUAAUGCUGAAAAUCAUUCCUAUGGUGCACGUGGUGGUCGUUUUGGUCGUGGAGGAGGUCGUUUUGGGAAAUCACCGUGUCAGAUUUGUCACAACCUGGUCAUGAUGCCUCUGUAUGCUACUAUCGUUAUGCCAAUUCCAGUGUGCUAGUUAUCCACAUCAUCGAGCUCCCUUCAAUCCUUUUCACGUGGCUCCUCGUGCUGUUAUCCUGUGCCGCUUGCUUAUGCUUCUCCCAGAGCUGCACCUCCCAGAUCUUCUGCACCACAAGCCUUUUAUGCAGGUACUGAAGCUAGCAGUGCAAACCAGUGGUGGUAUCCUGACUCAGGAGCUUCUCAUCAUGUUACUCCUGAUGCCUCUAAUGUGUCUGACUCUGCCUCCGUGCCUGGAACUGAACAAGUUUUCAUAGGUAACGGCCAGGUUUGCCAUCAACUCUGUAGGUUCUAUGUCUUUUCCCUUACCCACAAACCUCAUCUAUCUCUCACUCUUAACAAUCUCUUACAUGUCCCUCACAUCACCAAAAACUUAUGAGUGUGAGCAAUUUGCUCAAGAUAAUUCUGUUAUUUUGAAUUUCAUCCUAAGUUUUUGUGUUGUCAAAUCUCAGGCUACUUCUGAAGUCUUACUCAGUGGUUUGUUGGUGCUGAUGGCCUCUAUAAAUCUCCAAUCCAGCUGCUCCUCCGUUGUCCAAGUUUCUUCCCUCUUAUAGUUCUAGUCAUAGUUAUCCUGCAACAUACAAUUGUAAUGGUUCCUAUAGGACAGAUGUACAGAUUCUAUAUCUCAGUGUACUGAAUCGGUUGCAAUCAUACUAUAAAUCCUUGUCUUCUUGUAAUGAAUCUUGCAAUUAUAAUGUUACAAGUACCUUUUUCAAUCCUUCUCUAAACUCUGUCAGUACUGUUUUACCUUCCUCACACUUUAAUGCUGCAAAUUCUAUUGCAUCAAUAAAUAUGUGCUUUGGCAUACUAGGCUGGGACACCCCAAUCAUCAUGCCCUCACUGAAUCUUCAAACUGUGUAAUCAGUCCUUUCCAUCUAAACCCCUGCUGAGUUAUGUCAUGCUUGCUGCAUUGGCAAGUCUCAUAGAUCUCCUCUUCUUUAUCUACCACGUUUACUCUCAUCUUUUGAGCUGGUUGUAUGUGAUCUCUGGGUCCUGCCCUAUGCAUCUUCCAGUGGUUAUACCUAUUUCCUAACCUGUAUUGAUGCCUUCUCUAGGUUUGUUUGGGUUUUUCCUCUCAAACUUAAGUCUGACACCAUGGUUCAGUUUCUUCAGUUUAAAAAAUGGUUGAACUUCAGUUCAAUUGUCCCAUUAAUGUGUCAAACUGAUGGGGGAGGUGAGUUUAGGCCUCUUACCAAAUAUCUCACAGAUUUAGGGAUUGUUCCAGAUUCACUUGUCCCAUACACAUCACCAAAUGGCCUUGUUGAACGUAAGCACAGGCCAUUGUUGAGACUGGCCUCACACUCCUUGCUCAGUCCACCCUUCCUUAAAAUUCUGGGAUCAUGCAUUUGUCACAGCUGCAUAUCUCAUUAACAGACUUCCUACACCUAUACUUGACAAUGUCUCACCUUAUUUUAAAUUACUUCACAAAAACCUGACUAUACUACCCUUAAAGUCUUUGGCUGUGCUUGUUAUCCUUUCCUUCGUCCCUAUAAUUCUCAUAAACUUGAUUUUAGAUCUCAACUGUGCAUUUCUCUUGGAUUCUCUACUCUCACAAAGGCUAUAAAUGCCUUGCUUCAGAUGUUCGCAUUUUUAUUUCCAAGGAUGUUGUUUUUAAUGAAGCAAUUUUCCUUAUUCCACCUUGGUUUCUUCUUCAAAUCUGUUCUCUUUCCUAACACUCCAUCCUCUUCCUCUCCCUCUCUCAGUUUUCUCCUGUUCCCUCUACUCCCUCUACUUCUAAUCUGUCUUCUAUGGCUCUUCUUCCUCAAUUCUGCUUUUCCUCAACUAGCAGUCCCACUAUUCCUAAUAUUUCUCCAAUCUCUUCUUCCUCUUCCUCUGUCUGCUCCCUCUAACUACUCUUAUUCUUCUGGUCAGCAACCUAUCCCUCAACCUCUCACUGCAUUCCAUUACCUCUUCUCCUUCUUCCUCUCCUGCCCUCAUUCUCUGAUCCAGCUGAAGCUCACUCUCUUCUCCUCCUUUCAUAUUCCUCUCCUUCAGUUGGUCCCUCCCUGGCCCUAGUCCUAUUUCCCACCUGCUGCCACAGCUUUACUUCCAUUCACCUCUCAAACAUUCACCCUAUGCAAACUAGAGCAAAAGAGGAAUCACCUUCCUAGACUUCACCCUACUCUAUUAACAGCCCACCUUGUACCUACAUCUGUUGAACAAGCCUUGGCUGCUCCUAACUGGUUUCAAGGCCAUGAAGGAAGAACAUCAGGCACUGCUGAGAAAUCAGACCUGGACUUUGGUGAAAGCUCCUGCUGGAAGGAAGCCUAUUGGAUGUAAGUGGGUUUCAGGACUAAGGAGAAUCCUGAUGGUUCAUAAACAGGUAUAAAGCCAGAUAGUGGCAAGGGUUCCAUCAAAAGGCUGGUAAUGAUUUUCAAGACUUUCUCUCCUGUCAUUAAACCUGUCACUGUGAGAAUUGUUCUUUUCUAUUGCUGUUACAAACAGGUGGCCAUUGCAGCAGAUUGAUGUUAACAAUGCCUUCCUCAAUGGCACUCUUGAAGAAGAAGUCUUUAUGCAACCCCCCUGGCUUUGAAGUUGCUGACAACACUCUUGUUUGCAAUUAAAUAAGGCUAUUUAUGGUUUAAAACAGGCUCCUAGGGCCUGGUUUGAUAAGCUAAAGUGUGCCUUGGUUCAACUCCGGGUUUAAGGCUAGUAGAUGUGAUCCUAGCUUGUUUUUGUUGCAUCAAGGUAAACUUCAGAUUCUAAUUCUGGUCUAUGUAGAUGAUAUAAUCAUCACGGGUAGUUCUGCUCCUUUUAUAGCUUCCUUGAUCAAGCAUCUCAAUAAUUCUUUCUCUCUCAAACAGCUGGGCACCUUGAUUAUUUUCUAGGAUUCAAGUGACUCAUCUCCCUAAUGGUUCUCUUCUCUUAUCUCAGACUAAGUACAUCACAGAUUUGCUUUCAAGGCUUAUAUAUGUUGAAUGCCAAUGGCAUGCCUACUCCCAUGAUCUCUAGCAGCAAAUUGUCCAAGGUUGGGUUGCUGCGGUUGAUGACCCUACUCAGUUUCGGUCUGUGGUGGUGCCUUCAAUAUGCUACCUUAACUAGGCCAGAGAUCUCUUUUUCAGUCAACAAAGUCUGUCAGUUUUGUCCAAUCCUUUAGAGGAUCAUUGGAAGGCUGUUAAAAGAAUCUUAAGGUACCUAAGUGGUACUCUCCCAUUCCUUCUUCCUUCAGCCUGCUCCUAUUCAGCAACCAAUGCAGUUGCUAGGGUUCUGUGAUGCAGACUGGGCAUCAGACCCUGAUGACCGGAGUCUACUUCAGGGCCUGCAUAUAUCUUGGGCCUAAUGUUGUUUCCUGGUGGUCCAAAAAGCAACAGCUUGUUGCAAGGUCCAGUGCUAGGCGGAAUAUCGCAGUAUGGCUCAGCUAGCUGCUGAACUCAUUUGGAUUCAGUCCUUGCUUAAGGAACUCCAUUAUUCCUCUCAAUUUCCCAGAUCUUGUGUGAAUACUUGAGCCUGUUACUUUGGCUCACAAUCCUAUUCUUCACACAGGACUAAGCAUAUGGAGCUUGAUAUUUUCUUUCUGCGAGAGAAAGUACUCAGCAAAAGUCUGACUGUUGUUCAUGUACAGCUCAAGAUCAAUGGGCUGACAUUCUCACUAAGCCCUCUCUGCUGGCCAAGUUUGUCCUCUUCGUUCCAAGUUGCGUGUGUAUGAAUAAGGCUACUUUGACAUCUGCCAUCAGCUUCUAAGGGGACUAAUAGAGUAGUUACUAAUAUGCCCUUCAUUUUAUUUUUCUAUUCUGUUUUGCUGAGCUGUCAGCUUUGUUAGUGGUUGCUGUUAGCUUGUUAUGCGCCUCACCACUUUUCUGUUUGGAUUACAUGGCUAUUAUAGUAGCCUCUUGUAUUACUGUUCAUCAUAUAAUACAAUGAGAGUUCUUUUCAUUCUCUCUCUUUACCUAUUUCUAUCACUGAAUGUAUCCGUAUUUGUCAACUACUGACUCAAUCUAGAAGUCAAUGCUCAGAAGUUU
rnacentral:lncRNA from 1 species